CAGCCCUGAGGUGAACAGUUUUGCUUCACUACACCCUCCCCACCAUGACGUUCUGCCUCAACCCAGGCCCAGAAACAACGGAGUCAAGUGACCAUGAACUAAAAUCUCCAAAUAUUGAACCCGGGACCUUGUACAUUCGAGGCAAGCACUCUACCAACUGAAGUAUAUCCCCAGUCCCAG